rnacentral:rRNA from 1 species
UCCACGCCCCAAACGAUGUGGGCUAGGUGUUGGCCCUCUAAAAUUGGGUCAGUGCCGCAGCUAACGCGUUAAGCCCACCGCCUGGGGAGUACGGCCGCAAGGCUAAAACUCAAGGGAAUUGACGGGGGCCCACACAAGCGGCGGAGCAUCUGGUUCAAUUCGAUGCUAAGCGAAGAACCUUACCUGGGCUUAAAUGUAGAAGGACAGAUCGGGAAACUGAUUUUUCUUCGGAC